rnacentral:rRNA from 1 species
AUAUUGGUCAAUGGGCGGAAGCCUGAACCAGCCAUGCCGCGUGCAGGAAUAAGGCCCUACGGGUCGUAAACUGCUUUUGACGUGGAGCAAUAAGGUCUACGUGUAGACUGAUGAGAGUACUCGUCGCAUAAGCAUCGGCUAACUCCGUGCCAGCAGCCGCGGUAAUACGGAGGAUGCAAGCGUUAUCCGGAUUUAUUGGGUUUAAAGGGUGCGUAGGCUGUGCGGAAAGUCAGAGGUGAAAGCCCGGGGCUCAACUCCGGAACUGCCUUUGAUACUUCCGUGCUGGAAUACGGAUGCCGUGGGAGGAAUGAGUAGUGUAGCGGUGAAAUGCAUAGAUAUUACUCAGAACACCGAUUGCGAAGGCAUCUCACGAAUCCGUUAUUGACGCUGAGGCACGAAAGCGUGGGGAUCGAAC